rnacentral:lncRNA from 1 species
AGGAGCGGUUCUACCUGCAGCCGCUGCCGCCGGCGGAAGCCGCGGCGAGGGCCAAGUCGUCGGCCCAGGACAUCCUCAACCUCAAGCCGCUCAUCGACAAGAAGGCGUGGCCGUACGUCAUGAACGACCUCCGCCUCCGAGCCUCCUACCUGCGCUACGACCUCAACACCGUCAUCGCCUCCAAACCCAAGGAUGAGAAGAAGAGCCUCAAGGAGCUCACCGGCAAGCUCUUCAGCACCAUCGACGAUGUAAGCCAUGCUGCCAUUGAACUGAGAACAAUUGGCCAAUAACUUUUUUUCUCACUUUUUCACCAUAGCUAUGGAAAUAACAUGUAAGCUUCUCUUCUCAUUUUGGC